UGAGAAAAGGACAGAAACGGCCUUUUUGC
rnacentral:piRNA from 1 species